rnacentral:rRNA from 1 species
GCCGCGUGUGUGAAGAAGSCCUGCGGGUUGUAAAGCCCUUUCAGUGGGGAAGAAAAGCCUGGGGUUAAUACCCCUGAGUCUUGCGGUUACCCUCCGAAGGAAGCACCGGCUAAYUCCCUGCCACCAGCCGGGGUAAUACGGAGGGGGCAAGCGUUAUUCGGAAUUAUUGGGCGUAAAGCGCGCGUAGGGGGCUUUGUAAUUCGRAUGUGAAAACCCCGGGCUUCACACUGGGAAUUGCAUUCGAAACUKCWAGCYUGGGUUUGGGAGGGGGAAGUGGAAAUUCCGGUGGUGCGGUGAAAAUGCCUAAAUUUCGGAAGAACCCCCGUGGGGAAGGGGGCUUCCUGGGCCAAUACUCACGCUUAAGGGCGAAAGCGUGGGGAGCAAACCGGAUUAAAUACCCUGGUAGUCCACGCCCUAAACCAUGUGAACUAGACGUUGGGGCCAUUUGACCCUUCCUGGUCGMACCUAACGCGUUAAWUUUUCCCCCCGGGG